GUGGUUGUGGCUCAGCGGUGGAGCGCUUGCCUAGCAUGCGCGGGGCCCUGGGUUCGAUACUCAGCACCACA
rnacentral:tRNA from 1 species